GAUGAAGAACGCAGCGAAAUGCGAUACGUAAUGUGAAUUGCAGAAUUCAGUGAAUCAUCGAAUCUUUGAACGCAUAUUGCGCUCUCUGGUAUUCCGGAGAGCAUGCUUGUUUGAGUAUCAGUAAACACCUCAACUUCCAUAUCUUUUUUGAAAUGGGAGUUGGACUUGAGUGAUCCCAACGCUUUUCCUCACCGAAAAGUGGCGGGUUACUUGAAAUGCAGGUGCAGCUGGACUUUUCUCUGAGCUAUAAGCAUAUCUAUUUAGUCUGCCUAAAAAACAGAUUAUUACCUUUGCUGCAGCUAACAUAAAGGAGAUUAGUUCUUGUGCUGACUGAUGCAGGAUUCACAAAGACAGGCUUCGGCCGACUUUGUAAACUCGAUCUCAAAUCAAGUAAGACUACCCGCUGAACUUAAGCAUAUCAAUAAGCGGGGA
rnacentral:misc_RNA from 1 species